rnacentral:rRNA from 1 species
UGGGGAAUAUUGGACAAUGGGCGCAAGCCUGAUCCAGCCAUGCCGCGUGAGUGAUGAAGGCCCUAGGGUUGUAAAGCUCUUUCACCGGUGAAGAUAAUGACGGUAACCGGAGAAGAAGCCCCGGCUAACUUCGUGCCAGCAGCCGCGGUAAUACGAAGGGGGCUAGCGUUGUUCGGAAUUACUGGGCGUAAAGCGCACGUAGGCGGAUCGAUCAGUUAGGGGUGAAAUCCCGGGGCUCAACCCCGGAACUGCCUCUAAUACUGUCGAUCUGGAGUUCGAGAGAGGUGGGUGGAAUUCCGAGUGUAGAGGUGAAAUUCGUAGAUAUUCGGAGGAACACCAGUGGCGAAGGCGGCUCACUGGCUCGAUACUGACGCUGAGGUGCGAAAGCGUGGGGAGCAAACA